GGAGAGGUCAUAUCUCAGUGGUAGAAUACAUGCUUUGUAUGCAUGAGGUCCAAGGUUCAUUCCUGGCUCUCUCCC